UGCACCAUGGAGUCACUGCCCCAGCUUCUCUGUGGGCUCCUGAUGUUCUUAGUCCCAGGUUCCAGGGGGGAAAUUGUGCUGAGCCAGUCCCCAGCCUCAGUGUCUGUGACCCCAGGAGAGAGAGUUACCAUCAGCUGCAAGGCCAGUCAGAGUGUCAAAGACAGCAGUGGAAACACUUAUCUCUACUGGGUGCAACAGAAACCUGGACAGUCUCCUCGGGGCCUCAUUUACCAUGUUUCCAACCUGCACUCCGGAGUCCCUGCCAGAUUCAGUGGCAGUGGGGCUGAGAAGGACUUCACCCUCACCAUCAGCAGUGUGGAGGCUGACGAUGGGGCCUAUUAUUACUGUUGGCAAGGAUCUUUUUCUCCUCGCACAGUGUUACAGCCCUGA